AGGCUUUGGAAAACACUCCUCUCCUGGAACGCUCCCAGCAGUCAUCUUACAACAAAGCCCAUUGUCCCAUUUUCUCCUCCUCAGCCAUGCUGGAGUCCUUUUUCCUUUUUGUCCCCAGUGUCUCUUUUUGCCUGCAUUGCUUACACAGAUGAAGGCUUUAUUGUGCUAAGGGUAUGCAAGCCUACAGUGACGAGCCUCUCAGCAGAACAAACGCUGCCGAAGCCUGCUGCGAUGCAGUGAAAGCCACGAAGAGCAAGGCUGGUGCCAAGACUGACAGCUUCCUGAACAACUCUCAUCCACCUGGCAGAGCCCCGGCUGGCAAUUUCACAGGAGCUCAGGGAAAACGGAAGGAUAACAGAAGUACAUCCCCAGCCUGCAGAAG